UACGUAGGGGGCUAGCGUUGUCCGGAAUCAUUGGGCGUAAAGAGCGUGUAGGCGGUUCGGUAAGUCCGCUGUGAAAGUCCAGGGCUCAACCCUGGAAUGCCAGUGGAAACUGCCGAGCUAGAGUCCGGAAGAGGCGAGUGGAAUUCCUGGUGUAGCGGUGAAAUGCGCAGAUAUCAGGAGGAACACCAAUGGCGAAAGCAGCUCGCUGGGACGGUACUGACGCUGAGACGCGAAAGCAUGGGGAGCAAACAGG
rnacentral:rRNA from 1 species